rnacentral:rRNA from 1 species
GAUGAACGCUGGCGGCGUGCCUAAUACAUGCAAGUCGAGCGAACGGACGAGAAGCUUGCUUCUCUGAUGUUAGCGGCGGACGGGUGAGUAACACGUGGAUAACCUACCUAUAAGACUGGGAUAACUUCGGGAAACCGGAGCUAAUACCGGAUAAUAUUUUGAACCGCAUGGUUCAAAAGUGAAAGACGGUCUUGCUGUCCCUUAUAGAUGGAUCCGCGCUGCAUUAGCUAGUUGGUAAGGUAACGGCUUACCAAGGCAACGAUGCAUAGCCGACCUGAGAGGGUGAUCGGCCAUACUGGAACUGAGACACGGUCCAGACUCCUACGGGAGGCAGCAGUAGGGAAUCUUCCGCAAUGGGCGAAAGCCUGACGGAGCAACGCCGCGUGAGUGAUGAAGGUCUUCGGAUCGUAAAACUCUGUUAUUAGGGAAGAACAUAUGUGUAAGUAACUGUGCACAUCUUGACGUUACCUAAUCAGAAAGCCACGGCUAACUACGUG